rnacentral:lncRNA from 1 species
AUAGAUCCUUUGCAGAAAAAAUAGGAGAAUCUCGCUGGAAGAAGGAAAUAGACAGAGGGCUGGAAGGAAAGACUCCCUUUCUCCGACAAAGGGCCUAAGAGUGAAGAGGAGUUAACGCUGAUAUAUACUCAAAAUCUGAAGUCUUAGCACAAAGUAAAGUAACUCUAGACUCUAAGCCCACGAUGUCAGGAUCUUUAAAAUAUAUACUCAAAAUCUGAAGUCUUAGCACAAAGUAAAGUAACUCUAGACUCUAAGCCCAUGAUGUCAGGAUCUUUAAAAGAUAUUCAUGGAAAAGGAAAAAAGAGGCAUGUCCAGGCGAUAAUGACAGGAAAGUAAAAAGAGCAGAGUAUACGAGGGGUAAGGAAAGGCCAGAAAGGGAAAAAGGCAGAUAGGAUUCAAGAAAUGAGGAAUGACAAAAAGAUGAAAGGGAGUUAUGAAGGCAUCUACACGUGAACAGGCGCGGUCAUAAUGGUUCUCGAUAUUCACCCCCUCGGCAGUCGGAGCAAUAACUGCCAAGAAGGUGAAGGGGCAAUUGAUGACCGCUGGAUUUCCCUACCCCCAAUCCUGG